GACGAACGCUGGCGGCGUGCUUAACACAUGCAAGUCGAACGAAAAGAGGGGAAGAGCUUGCUCUUUCCGGAAUUGAGUGGCAAACGGGUGAGUAACACGUAAACAACCUGCCUUCAGGAUGGGGACAACAGACGGAAACGACUGCUAAUACCGAAUAAGUUCCAAGGGCCGCAUGGCCCAUGGAAGAAAAGGUGGCCUCUACCUGUAAGCUAUCGCCUGAAGAGGGGUUUGCGUCUGAUUAGCUAGUUGGAGGGGUAACGGCCCACCAAGGCGAUGAUCAGUAGCCGGUCUGAGAGGAUGAACGGCCACAUUGGGACUGAGACACGGCCCAGACUCCUACGGGAGGCAGCAGUGGGGAAUCUUCCGCAAUGGACGAAAGUCUGACGGAGCAACGCCGCGUGAGUGAUGACGGCCUUCGGGUUGUAAAGCUCUGUUAAUCGGGACGAAAGGCCUUCUUGCGAAUAGUGAGAAGGAUGA
rnacentral:rRNA from 1 species